rnacentral:rRNA from 1 species
AUACGGAGGGUGCAAGCGUUACUCGGAAUCACUGGGCGUAAAGCGCGCGCAGGCGGCUAUUUAAGUUGGAUGUGAAAGCCUACGGCUCAACCGUAGAACUGCAUCCAAAACUAUUUAGCUAGAGUGUGGGAGAGGAAGAUGGAAUUAGUUGUGUAGGGGUAAAAUCCGUAGAGAUAACUAGGAAUACCAAAAGCGAAGGCAAUCUUCUGGAACGCUACUGACGCUGAGGCGCGAAAGCGUGGGGAGCAAACGGGAUUAGAAACCCUUGUAGUCC